CUCUAUCGGCAUCUCAUUUCCCCAACGUCACCUAGGCACCUAGCCCCCCGUCGCAUUCACGCCAACCAUUCCUGCCCUCCGCCGCGCCGCUGCCUCCAGCAAGCCUCCGCCGACGCUGCCCUGUCCGCCGCUGCCUCCUCCGACCACCGCGAGUAUACACGCUUCGCCACCUCUCCCAGCCAAGAACCUAGUUAACCCCCUCCUCCAGAUUUUCUGCGAUUUUGCCCAGGUCCAUGGUAGUGGCUGUGAAGUAAUUUUCUGCUCAGCCAACAUUGUUAGCUACUAGCUAACUUGCUAGUAAGCUCUGAGCCCGAGACAUCCAAAUAUUUUUCCACUUCUCUGGAGCAAUCAUAGAGCCCAAGCCUUCCUACUUUGGGUUUUCUGACUAGCUCAACAUGUCUGAGGAAGAGCAACGUGGUUGGAUGCACAGUGGGUGGAGCGAACAUGGGCGCCAUUCUGCUGAGUGGGUGCGCAACACAGAUGCAUUUCUCGAUCGCGCUUUCCAGAUUAUGCCUAACGCCAACCAGCUAGGUGUGAAGUGCCCAUGUGACGAGUGCUGCAACAGAAUUAUGCACAAGCGACCGCUGGUGAGAUCCCACCUUUUGAAAUGGGGUUUCAUGCUAGGCUAUACUAGAUGGACUGAACAUGGAGAGCCUCCUGCAGUUCGUUCUACCAGAACAGAGGAGCCCCUUCAUAGUCAAACUGAAGUCUCGCGUAUAUCCACCGUUAAAGAAUUGAUGGAAUUUAAAUCAAAAUUCAAGAUUUCAGAUGAAUCAUUUGAUCACCUGCUGGAUAUAAUAUGUAAAACCCUCCCAAAGGGUCAUAAAAUGCCUGCAAAUGUGCAUGAGUGCAAGAAAUAUUUGAGUGACCUUGAAACACCAAGUUCCAAGACUGAGGGGGAGAGCUCGAAGAGAAAAAGGCGGUCUUAAAUACUAACAGGGUAGCUGAAGGAGUGUCUGGUGGUGGCUUCGUUGCAACUGAUCCUUGGUGUUUGAGGUUUCCACCUAAGCUUGGGUAGUUCCAUUAUGAGAUAUGUUUAAUGUUGAAUUUGCCUGUAGUAUGUUGAUCAACUUGGUGUGAGGGGUUCGAGCUCUCAAGUGCUAGUUAACUCGCUGAUGAUUUCUGAGCUCCAGGUUACUAAUUAGAGGCACUUACCAUGAUGCUUUUGAUGAUGUAUUAGCUCUGAAGUGCUGGUUAAUGAAUUUGAUCAAUACUCUCCGUUGCUAAAUAAUUUCACGUGCUGAGUGAUUCA